AAAAAAAAAAACUCUGGGUUUCCGUGUCCAACUUUGACUGUCUGUCUUAUAUAAAUUUUUUUUAUAAUUUGUAUUUUCAUUGUUGUUAGAUGAUAAAACAUGAUUAAUAUUUUAUACGUGAUUUGUCUUUUUAAUUUUUUUCAUAAUUUUUUAAAAUAAGACGGAUGGUCAAACGUUGGACACGGAAACCAGGGUUUGUCUUUUU
rfam:Oryza barthii chromosome 11, whole genome shotgun sequence.